rnacentral:rRNA from 1 species
AUGGUUAGGCUGCUGCGCAGUCGAGACUUCAACGAAGCCAACGUCUACAAGAUGGAUUUCUCCGAGCAGCAAUGCCGCCCCGUCCGCGAUCUCGGCGGCCGCGCCUUCUUCGUCGCUCCGUUGAACUUCGGCGUGUCGUGCUUGGCUGGGGAUCGGUACGGGAUUCAGCACAACUGUGUCUACUCCUUGGUUAAGUUGGCUGACAAAUCUUUCAACAUGUUCAACGUGGAGGACGGGACAGCAAAGCGACGCGACAUCGGAGAAGCUUACGUUUCCGUUGCAAAACAUGGGACCAACACCCACCAUCCUAUGCUUGGAACGCAGCACAGAAUGCUAUGGAUGGUUCCAACCAGCCUCUAA